rnacentral:rRNA from 1 species
CUGGCUCAGGAUGAACGCUGGCGGCGUGCCUAACACAUGCAAGUCGAACGAAGCAAUUAAGAUGAAGUUUUCGGAUGGAAUCUUGAUUGAC